rnacentral:rRNA from 1 species
AACACGUGGGGAACCUGCCCCAUAGUCUGGGAUACCACUUGGAAACAGGUGCUAAUACCGGAUAAGAAAGCGGAUCGCAUGAUCAGCUUUUAAAAGGCGGCGUAAGCUGUCGCUAUGGGAUGGCCCCGCGGUGCAUUAGCUAGUUGGUAAGGUAAAGGCUUACCAAGGCGAUGAUGCAUAGCCGAGUUGAGAGACUGAUCGGCCACAUUGGGACUGAGACACGGCCCAAACUCCUACGGGAGGCAGCAGAC